AUUGAACGCUGGCGGCAUGCUUUACACAUGCAAGUCGAACGGCAGCGCGGGCUUCGGCCUGGCGGCGAGUGGCGAACGGGUGAGUAAUACAUCGGAACGUGCCCAGUAGUGGGGGAUAGCUCGGCGAAAGCCGGAUUAAUACCGCAUACGACCUGAGGGUGAAAGCGGGGGAUCUUCGGACCUCGCGCUAUUGGAGCGGCCGAUGGCAGAUUAGCUAGUUGGUGGGGUAAAGGCCUACCAAGGCGACGAUCUGUAGCUGGUCUGAGAGGACGACCAGCCACACUGGGACUGAGACACGGCCCAGACUCCUACGGGAGGCAGCAGUGGGGAAUUUUGGACAAUGGGCGAAAGCCUGAUCCAGCAAUGCCGCGUGUGUGAUGAAGGCCUUCGGGUGUAAAGCACUUUUGGCGGGAACGAAAAGGACUGUGCCAAUACCACGGUUCGAUGACGGUACCCGCAGAAUAAGCACCGGCUAACUACGUG
rnacentral:rRNA from 1 species